rnacentral:rRNA from 1 species
UCGAACGAUGAAGCCGCUUCGGUGGUGGAUUAGUGGCGAACGGGUGAGUAACACGUGGGCAAUCUGCCCUGCACUCUGGGACAAGCCCUGGAAACGGGGUCUAAUACCGGAUACGACUACUGACCGCAUGGUUGGUGGUGGAAAGCUCCGGCGGUGCAGGAUGAGCCCGCGGCCUAUCAGCUUGUUGGUGGGGUGAUGGCCUACCAAGGCGACGACGGGUAGCCGGCCUGAGAGGGCGACCGGCCACACUGGGACUGAGACACGGCCCAGACUCCUACGGGAGGCAGCAGUGGGGAAUAUUGCACAAUGGGCGAAAGCCUGAUGCAGCGACGCCGCGUGAGGGAUGACGGCCUUCGGGUUGUAAACCUCUUUCAGCAGGGAAGAAGCGAAAGUGACGGUACCUGCAGAAGAAGCGCCGGCUAACUACGUGCCAGCAGCCGCGGUAAUACGUAGGGCGCAAGCGUUGUCCGGAAUUAUUGGGCGUAAAGAGCUCGUAGGCGGCUUGUCACGUCGGAUGUGAAAGCCCGGGGCUUAACCCCGGGUCUGCAUUCGAUACGGGCAGGCUAGAGUUCGGUAGGGGAGAUCGGAAUUCCUGGUGUAGCGGUGAAAUGCGCAGAUAUCAGGAGGAACACCGGUGGCGAAGGCGGAUCUCUGGGCCGAUACUGACGCUGAGGAGCGAAAGCGUGGGGAGCGAACAGGAUU